CAUUCUCAGGGCGGGGUGAAAUUCCCCACCGGCGGUUACAGCCCGCGAGCGCCCCUUGGCACCAAGGGGGUCAGCAGAUCCGGUGAAAUUCCGGGGCCGACGGUCAUAGUCCGGAUGAAAGAGAAU
rnacentral:ncRNA from 1 species